rnacentral:rRNA from 1 species
GAUGAACGCUAGCGAUAGGCUUAACACAUGCAAGUCGAGGGGCAGCACAAGGUAGCUUGCUAUCUGGGUGGCGACCGGCGCACGGGUGCGUAACGCGUAUGCAACUUGCCCUAUACAGGAGGAUAACCCGUCGAAAGACGGACUAAUACUGCGUAUGCUCACAACUUGGCAUCAAGUGGUGAGGAAAGAAAUUCGGUAUAGGAUAGGCAUGCGUCCCAUUAGCUUGUUGGUGAGGUAACGGCUCACCAAGGCAACGAUGGGUAGGGGAACUGAGAGGUUUAUCCCCCACCCUGGUACUGAGACAUGGACCAGACUCCUACGGGAGGCAGCAGUGAGGAAUAUUGGUCAAUGGGCGCGAGCCUGAACCAGCCAAGUCGCGUGAAGGAUGACUGUCUUAUGGAUUGUAAACUUCUUUUAUACGGGAAUAACAAGAGUCACGUGUGACUCCCUGCAUGUACCGUAUGAAUAAGCAUCGGCUAACUCCGUG